AUUGAACGCUGGCGGCAGGCUUAACACAUGCAAGUCGAGCGAGCGGCGGACGGGUGAGUAAUGUCUGGGAAACUGCCUGACGGAGGGGGAUAACUACUGGAAACGGUAGCUAAUACUGCAUACCAUCAGAUGUGCCCAGAUGGGAUUAGCUAGUUGGUGGGGUAAGGGCUCACCUAGGCGACGUUCCCUAGCUGGUCUGAGAGGAGGACCAGACACACUGGAACGGAACCACGGUCCAGACUCCUACGGGAGGCAGCAGUGGAGAAUAUUGCACAAUGGAGGCAAGCCUGAUGCAGCCAUGCCACGUAUGUGGAAAAGGCCUUCGGGUUGUAAAGCACUUUCAGCGAGAAGGCGUUACUCGAAGAAGAAGCACCGGCUAACUCCGUGCCAGCAGCCGCGGUAAUUC
rnacentral:rRNA from 1 species